GGGCCCGCACAAGCGGUGGAGCAUGUGGUUUAAUUCGAUGCAACGCGAAGAACCUUACCAGGCCUUGACAUCCUCGGAACUUUCUAGAGAUAGAUUGGUGCCUUCGGGAACCGGGUGACAGGUGCUGCAUGGCUGUCGUCAGCUCGUGUCGUGAGAUGUUGGGUUAAGUCCCGUAACGAGCGCAACCCUUGUCCUUAGUUGCCAGCACAUAAUGGUGGGAACUCUAAGGAGACUGCCGGUGACAAACCGGAGGAAGGUGGGGACCGACGUCAAGUCAUCAUGGCCCUUACGGCCUGGGCUACACACGUGCUACAAUGGCUAGGACAGACGGCUGCAAACCAGCGAUGGG
rnacentral:rRNA from 1 species